UACGUAGGGUGCGAGCGUUAAUCGGAUUUACUGGGCGUAAAGCGUGCGCAGGCGGCCCGUUAAGACAGGUGUGAAAUCCCUGGGCUCAACCUAGGAAUUGCGCUUGUGACUGGCGGGCUCGAGUACGGUAGAGGGGGGUGGAAUUCCUGGUGUAGCAGUGAAAUGCGUAGAUAUCGGGAGGAACGCCGAAGGCGAAAGCGGGUUCCUGGGCCUAUACUGACGCUGAGACGCGAAAGCUAGGGGAGCAAACAGG
rnacentral:rRNA from 1 species